rnacentral:misc_RNA from 1 species
GUGAGUCAUCGAAUCUUUGAACGCACAUUGCGCCCUUUGGUAUUCCGAAGGGCAUGCCUGUUCGAGCGUCAUUAUCACCCCUCAAGCCUGGCUUGGUGUUGGACGGCCGGUCGCGGCACCCCCGCGACCCCUCCUAAAGUUAAUGACGGCGGCCUGUCGACCCCCGGUACACUGAGCUUCUUCACAGGGCACGUAUCGGUUUCAAGGGCGGUGGGACCCGGUCUUCUUCCUUCACUGGAAAAACCUCUCAAGGUUGACCUCGGAUCAGGUAGGAAUACCCGCUGAACUUAAGCAUAUCAAUAAGCGGAGGA